GAAAUGCGAUAAGUAGUGUGAAUUGCAGAAUUCAGUGAAUCAUCGAAUCUUUGAACGAACAUUGCGCCCUUUGGUAUUCCUUAGGGCAUGCCUGUUCGAGCGUCAUCUAAACCUUCAAGCCCUGCUUGGUGUUGGGUGCCUGUCCCGCCUCCGCGCGCGGACUCACCUCAAAUCCAUUGGCGGCCCCCGCGUCGGCCACGAGCGCAGCAGAAACGCGAACUCGUGAGCCCGUCCGGGCGGCUCCCAGAAGCUACACCCACCCAGUUUGACCUCGGAUCAGGUAGGGAUACCCGCUGAACUUAAGC
rnacentral:misc_RNA from 1 species